AGGAAAACGAGUGGUGCUGAUGAAGAAAUUUCCUCUGGAUGGAGAGAAGACAGGCAGGGAAGCAGCACUAUUUAUUGUUCCAUCAGUCGUCAAAGAUAAUACUAAAUAUGCAUAUACUCCCGGAUGUCCAAUCUUUUACUGCUUACAAGAUAUUAUGAGAGUUUGUAGUGAAUCCAGUACUCACUUUGCAACACUUACAGCAAGAAUGUUAAUAGCCUUGGAUAAGUGGUUAGAUGAACGUCAUGCACAAUCUCACUUUAUUCCAGCUUUAUUCCGACCUUCUCCCCUUGAACGGAUAAAGACAAAUGUCAUAAACCCUGCGUAUGCUGCUGAACUAGGUCAGAUAGAAAACUCACUACAUAUGGGCUAUAGUGCACUAGAAAUAAAGAGUAAAAUGCUAGCCCUAGAGAAAGCAGACACCUGCAUUUAUAACCCUUUGUUUGGGUCAGAUCUUCAGUAUACAAAUCGGGUAAGAGUUGAAUAUUGACUUCAGUUUCAAAAGACAUCUUAAAUAUAAUUUUUUUCUAACAAAGGUGCACAGGUUGUCAUUUUAAACAUUAAAACACACAGUGCUUUAUUUAUAUAUGAAAGUCAAGCAUCUGAGGCUUUUAAGUAAUUUUUAUUUUAUUUUUCCUUUUCUAGGUAGAUAAAGUGGUAAUAAAUCCAUACUUUGGUCUCGGAGCUCCAGACUACUCAAAAAUCCAAAUUCCCAAACAGGAAAAGUGGCAGCGAAGC
rnacentral:lncRNA from 1 species